ACCUCAGUAACGGCGAGUGAAGCGGUAACAGCUCAAAUUUGAAAGCUCGCUCUUUGAGGGCGCGCGUUGUAAUUUGUAGAAGAUGCUUCGAGUGUGGCCCCGGUCUAAGUUCCCUUGGAACAGGACGUCAUAGAGGGUGAGAAUCCCGUAUGUGACUGGGCGCCUUCGCUCGUGUGAAGCUCUUUCGACGAGUCGAGUUGUUUGGGAAUGCAGCUCAAAAUGGGUGGUAUAUUUCAUCUAAAGCUAAAUAUUGGCCAGAGACCGAUAGCGCACAAGUAGAGUGAUCGAAAGAUGAAAAGCACUUUGGAAAGAGAGUUAAACAGUACGUGAAAUUGUUGAAAGGGAAGCGCUUGCAACCAGACUUGCGCGUAGGUGAUCAUCCGGGCUUCUGUCCGGUGCACUCGCCUGCGCUCAGGCCAGCAUCGGUUUCGGCGGUGGGAUAAAGGCCUUGGGAAUGUAGCUCCUUUCGGGGAGUGUUAUAGCCCUCGGUGCAAUGCCGCCUGCCGGGACCGAGGACCGCGCUUCGGCUAGGAUGCUGGCGUAAUGGUUGUAAGCGACCCGUCUUGAAACACGGACCAAGGAGUCUAACAUCUAUGCGAGUGUUUGGGUGUCAAACCCAUACGCGUAAUGAAAGUGAACGGAGGUGAGAACCCUUAAGGGCGCAUCAUCGACCGAUCCUGAUGUCUUCGGAUGGAUUUGAGUAAGAGCAUAGCUGUUGGGACCCGAAAGAUGGUGAACUAUGCGUGAAUAGGGUGAAGCCAGAGGAAACUCUGGUGGAGGCUCGCAGCGGUUCUGACGUGCAAAUCGAUCGUCAAAUUUGCGUAUAUGAGCGAAAGAC
rnacentral:rRNA from 1 species